UACUAGCCCAGUUGUUAGAGCAUGAGACUCUUAAUCUCAGAGUCCUGGGUUCAAGCCCCACAUGGGCAAAA